rnacentral:rRNA from 1 species
AGUGAACGCUGGCGGUAUGCCUAACACAUGCAAGUCGAACGGCAGCACAGUAAGAGCUUGCUCUUACGGGUGGCGAGUGGCGGACGGGUGAGGAAUACAUCGGAAUCUACUUUUUCGUGGGGGAUAACGUAGGGAAACUUAUGCUAAUACCGCAUACGACCUACGGGUGAAAGCAGAGGAUCUUCGGACCUUGCCCGAUUGAAUGAGCCGAUGUCGGAUUAGCUAGUUGGCGUGGUAAAGGCCCACCAAGGCGACGAUCCGUAGCUGGUCUGAGAGGAUGAUCAGCCACACUGGAACUGAGACACGGUCCAGACUCCUACGGGAGGCAGCAGUGGGGAAUAUUGGACAAUGGGCGAAAGCCUGAUCCAGCAAUACCGCGUGGGUGAAGAAGGCCUUCGGGUUGUAAAGCCCUUUUGUUGGGAAAGAAAAGCAGCAGGUUAAUACCCCGCUGUUCUGACGGUACCCAAAGAAUAAGCACCGGCUAACUUCGUG